rnacentral:tRNA from 1 species
GCUUGUGGCUCAGGGGUAGAGUGCUUGCCUGGCAUGUAUGAGGCACUGGGUUGGAUUCUCAGCACUGCA